GAAAGGAGUGUAGGGAACAUUCUAGAAUGAUAGCAGUAUUCUGUAUUUUGAUUAAAAGGAUAAUCACCUAGCUGUAAACAUUUGUCGGGAUCCUACAAGCUUUCAACUUGAGAUCUGUGCAUUUUAACACAUAUAAGAACAGAAGUAAAACAGAAUCUUCGCUGUACAGCCUGCUCUCUACCAUUGGUUAACAUACCACUAUCUAGACAACUCUGAAGCAGCUCCCAUUUUAUGAAGGAGGUGGCUGGCGGAGGCUCGGAAGCACCAUGGCAAACAGGGCCAGGAGGUGAGCACAGACCUUCUGGUCCAGGGCCCGGCUCGUAACCGCCCGCCGCGUUGCCCCCCGCAGCCUGUCCGUCCUCCCUGGGACAACCUGCCGGCUCUUAGGCAUCGCCGUCUGGCCGCCUCGCCACGUGACCAGGAGGCCCGGCAGGCCGGGACCGCACCCCGCGCCCCCCGCGCA